rnacentral:rRNA from 1 species
UUAAGUGAAUAAGGGCGCACGGUGGAUGCCUUGGCACUAGGAGCCGAUGAAGGACGGGACUAACACCGAUAUGCUUUGGGGAGCUGUACGUAAGCUAUGAUCCAGAGAUUUCCGAAUGGGGGAACCCAACAUCUUUAAUAGGAUGUUACGAUUGUGUGAAUACAUAGCACAUUCGAGGUAGACGCAGAGAACUGAAACAUCUAAGUACCUGCAGGAAGAGAAAGAAAAUUCGAUUCCCUGAGUAGCGGCGAGCGAAACGGGAAAAGCCCAAACCAGCAAGCUUGCUUGUUGGGGUUGUAGGACUCCAAUAUGGUAGUUCUUUCAGAUAGUCGAAUGACUUGGAAAAGUCAGUCAAAGAGGGUAAAAACCCCGUAGACGAAAUGUGGAAGACACCUAGGAGGAUCCUGAGUACGGCGGAACACGAGAAAUUCCGUCGGAAUCCGGGAGGACCAUCUCCCAAGGCUAAAUACUCCCUAGUGACCGAUAGUGAACCAGUACCGUGAGGGAAAGGUGAAAAGCACCCCGGAAGGGGAGUGAAAUAGAACCUGAAACCGUGUGCCUACAACAAGUCAAAGCCCGUUAAUGGGUGAUGGCGUGCCUUUUGUAGAAUGAACCGGCGAGUUACGAUUGCAUGCGAGGUUAAGUUGAAGAGACGGAGCCGCAGCGAAAGCGAGUCUGAAUAGGGCGUUUGAGUAUGUAGUCGUAGACCCGAAACCAUGUGAUCUACCCAUGUCCAGGUUGAAGGUGCGGUAAAACGCACUGGAGGACCGAACCCACGUACGUUGAAAAGUGCGGGGAUGAGGUGUGGGUAGCGGAGAAAUUCCAAACGAACUUGGAGAUAGCUGGUUCUCUCCGAAAUAGCUUUAGGGCUAGCCUCGGAAUUGAGAAUGAUGGAGGUAGAGCACUGUUUGGACUAGGGGCCCAUCUCGGGUUACCGAAUUCAGAUAAACUCCGAAUGCCAUUCAUUCAUAUCCGGGAGUCAGACUGUGAGUGAUAAGAUCCAUAGUCGAAAGGGAAACAGCCCAGACCACCAGCUAAGGUCCCAAAAUAUAUGUUAAGUGGAAAAGGAUGUGGGGUUGCACAGACAACUAGGAUGUUGGCUUAGAAGCAGCCACCAUUUAAAGAGUGCGUAAUAGCUCACUAGUCGAGUGACCCUGCGCCGAAAAUGUACCGGGGCUAAACAUAUUACCGAAGCUGUGGAGUACACCUUUAGGUGUAUUGGUAGGAGAGCGUUCUAAGGGCGUUGAAGGCAGAUCGUGAGGACUGCUGGAGCGCUUAGAAGUGAGAAUGCCGGUAUGAGUAGCGAAAGACAGGUGAGAAUCCUGUCCACCGAAUGACUAAGGUUUCCUGGGGAAGGCUCGUCCGCCCAGGGUUAGUCGGGACCUAAGCCGAGGCCGACAGGCGUAGGCGAUGGAUAACAGGUUGAUAUUCCUGUACCCGUUGUUUUUGUUUGAGCAAUGGAGGGACGCAGGAGGCUAAGGAAUGCAGACGAUCGGAAAUGUCUGUCCAAGCAGUAAGUCUGAAGAGGAGUCAAAUGCUUCUUUUCUUAAGGACAAGCUGUGAUGGGGAGGGAAAUAAUAGUACCGAAGUUCCUGAUGUCACACUGCCGAGAAAAGCUUCUAGUGAGAAAACAGCGGCCCGUACCGCAAACCGACACAGGUAGUCGAGGAGAGAAUCCUAAGGUGAGCGAGAGAACUCUCGUUAAGGAACUCGGCAAAAUGACCCCGUAACUUCGGGAGAAGGGGUGCUGAUCAUACGAUCAGCCGCAGUGAAUAGGCCCAAGCGACUGUUUAUCAAAAACACAGGUCUCUGCAAAAUCGUAAGAUGAAGUAUAGGGGCUGACGCCUGCCCGGUGCUGGAAGGUUAAGAGGAGUGCUUAGCGCAAGCGAAGGUACGAAUUGAAGCCCCAGUAAACGGCGGCCGUAACUAUAACGGUCCUAAGGUAGCGAAAUUCCUUGUCGGGUAAGUUCCGACCCGCACGAAAGGCGUAACGAUUUGGGCACUGUCUCAACGAGAGACUCGGUGAAAUUUUAGUACCUGUGAAGAUGCAGGUUACCCGCGACAGGACGGAAAGACCCCAUGGAGCUUUACUGUAGUUUGAUAUUGAGUGUCUGUACCGCAUGUACAGGAUAGGUAGGAGCCGUAGAAAUCGGAACGCUAGUUUCGAUGGAGGCGCUGGUGGGAUACUACCCCUGCGUUAUGGCCACUCUAACCCGCACCACUAAUCGUGGUGGGAGACAGUGUCAGAUGGGCAGUUUGACUGGGGCGGUCGCCUCCUAAAAGGUAACGGAGGCGCCCAAAGGUUCCCUCAGAAUGGUUGGAAAUCAUUCGAAGAGUGUAAAGGCAGAAGGGAGCUUGACUGCGAGACCAACAAGUCGAGCAGGGACGAAAGUCGGGCUUAGUGAUCCGGUGGUUCCGCAUGGAAGGGCCAUCGCUC